rnacentral:rRNA from 1 species
GACGAACGCUGGCGGCGUGCUUAACACAUGCAAGUCGAACGAUGAUGCCCAGCUUGCUGGGUGGAUUAGUGGCGAACGGGUGAGUAACACGUGAGUAACCUGCCCCUGACUCUGGGAUAAGCGUUGGAAACGACGUCUAAUACUGGAUAUGACUGCCGGCCGCAUGGUCUGGUGGUGGAAAGAUUUUUUGGUUGGGGAUGGACUCGCGGCCUAUCAGCUUGUUGGUGAGGUAAUGGCUCACCAAGGCGACGACGGGUAGCCGGCCUGAGAGGGUGAACGGCCACACUGGGACUGAGACAGGGGCCAGAGUCCUACGGGGGGAAGCAGUAGGGAAUAUUUCACAAUGGUCGAAAGCCUGAUGCAGCAGCGCCGCGUGAGGGAUGACGGCCUUCGGGUUGUAAACCUCUUUUAGUAGGGAAUAAGCGAAAGUGACGGUACCUGCAGAAAAAGCACCGGCUAACUACGUGCCAGCCGCCGCCGUAA